GGCCUGGUGGCUAAGUGGUUAAGCCCUUGGCUGCUAACCAAAAGGUCAGUGGUUUGAGCCCACCAGCCA
rfam:Loxodonta africana unplaced genomic scaffold scaffold_70, whole genome shotgun sequence.